rnacentral:rRNA from 1 species
UGGGGAAUAUUGCACAAUGGAGGGAACUCUGAUGCAGCGACGCCGCGUGAAUGAAGAAGGCUUUCGUGUCGUAAAGUUCUUUUAUAUGGGAAGAUAAUGACGGUACCAUAAGAAAAAGCCCAGGCUAACUACGUGCCAGCAGCCGCGGUAAUACGUAGGGGGCUAGCGUUGUCCGGAAUCACUGGGCGUAAAGGGUUCGCAGGCGGAAAUGCAAGUCAGGUGUAAAAGGCAGUAGCUUAACUACUGUAAGCAUUUGAAACUGCAUAUCUUGAGAAGAGUAGAGGUAAGUGGAAUUUUUAGUGUAGCGGUGAAAUGCGUAGAUAUUAAAAAGAAUACCGGUGGCGAAGGCGACUUACUGGGCUCAUUCUGACGCUGAGGAACGAAAGCGUGGGUAGCAAACAGG